rnacentral:rRNA from 1 species
UACGUAGGGGGCAAGCGUUGUCCGGAAUCAUUGGGCGUAAAGCGCGUGUAGGCGGCUUGGUAAGUCCGCUCUGAAAGCCCGGGGCUCAACCCCGGGAGGCGGGUGGAUACUGUCAAGCUCGAGUCCGGAAGAGGCGAGUGGAAUUCCUGGUGUAGCGGUGAGAUGCGCAGAUAUCAGGAGGAACACCAAUGGCGAAGGCAGCUCGCUGGGACGUGACUGACGCUGAGACGCGAAAGCGUGGGGAGCAAACAGG